rnacentral:sRNA from 1 species
GAAGGAUUCUGAGGUCCCAGGAUUUUGCUGUUCUUCAGCUGAUAUUUCUGUAUGCAUUGUUUUGGUUUGAUAGGUGGAAGUUUACUCUUUCUAAUAUUGUCAUUUUUCAGGAUCCUAUUUUGCUCCAUUUUUAGCUGUCAUACAUGUAAUUUUAUAAUUAUUCUAAUAGUUUCCUCAGUUAAUUUUACUUAGACUCAUUUAUUGAACUAACGACACAUUGGAGGGAAAGGUAACAUACAGCGUGUUGGGGGGCGGAUUCUUAAAUGUCUGCUUUUGCGAUUACACAUUUCCCCGACUCCUCAUUCUCCAGUGGCAGCCGAUUAGGAGGCCUGGUUACAGUGUUGUGCUUCUUUUUCAAUCAUGGAGAGUGUACCCGUGUAAUGUGGACACCACCUCUCCGUGAAAGCUUCUCAUAUCCAUUUCUUGUUCUUCAGAUGUUGCUUGUGACUCAUAUUCUCAGG